CUGUGCAAAGUUUAGUUAACUUUUUUACUUUCUACUUUAAAGUGGGGUACAGACAGCUUCUCUAGAGAUGGGAGCCUCUCAAAGUCUCGAGUAUAAUCAGGUUGAAAUCAGAGGUACAGCAGACCCAAUACAGAGAGGCCAAAGUACAGGUUGAGUGACUUUUAUGAAUAUAGCACUAGUAUGUGCAAAGUUUACAAAGAUAAAUAUAUUUUACAGCAGAAAAAAACAUCCUGUUUCAUAAAGGAAAUUGUCUAAAACCAAAUUAAACAAUUACCUGGGCCCUUAAAGUAAAAGCAGAAUUUGUUUUACUAGUCUGGAAGACAUCCAUAACCUG